AGAGUUUGAUCAUGGCUCAGAUUGAACGCUGGCGGCGUGCCUAACACAUGCAAGUCGAGCGGUAACAGGUGUAGCAAUACAUGCUGACGAGCGGCGAACGGGUGAGUAAUGCUUCGGAAUCUACCUUAUGGUGGGGAAUAACUAGCCGAAAGGUUAGCUAAUACCGCAUACGUCCUACGGGAGAAAGCAGGGGAUCGUAAGACCUUGCGCCAAAAGAUGAGCCGAAGUCGGAUUAGCUAGUUGGUAGGGUAACGGCCUACCAAGGCGACGAUCCGUAGCUGGUCUGAGAGGACGACCAGCCACACUGGGACUGAGACACGGCCCAGACUCCUACGGGAGGCAGCAGUGGGGAAUAUUGGACAAUGGGGGAAACCCUGAUCCAGCGACGCCGCGUGUGUGAAGAAGGCCUGCGGGUUGUAAAGCACUUUUAGUGGGGAUGAAAUGUGCAGGGUUAAUACCUCUGCAUUUUGACCUAACCCACAGAAAAAGCACCGGCUAACUCUGUGCCAGCAGCCGCGGUAAUACAGAGGGUGCAAGCGUUAAUCGGAAUUACUGGGCGUAAAGCGUGCGUAGACGGUUACAUAAGUCGGGUGUGAAAGCCCCGGGCUCAACCUGGGAAUUGCAUUCGAGACUGCGUAGCUAGGGUGCGGAAGAGGGAAGCGGAAUUUCCGGUGUAGCGGUGAAAUGCGUAGAUAUCGGAAGGAACACCAGUGGCGAAAGCGGCUUCCUGGUCCAGCACCGACGUUCAGGCACGAAAGCGUGGGGAGCAAACAGGAUUAGAUACCCUAGUAGUCC
rnacentral:rRNA from 1 species